GGAUAUUUCACGUCAACACUGUGGUCGGUGCAAGCCGGAUGCGGAAUUCGCAUCGACCAGCCAUCCCCGGGAUCCAACCCCGGCUUACCUCAUUCGAAGGGGAACGCUCUAUCCUCUGAGCCAUCGCGACUCGAUACUACAUAUUAAGCAAAAUUCAUGAUUAAUCAUAUUUUUGUUGUGACGAUUACACAAGACCAAGUAAUCCUCAAAUUCACAGUAAUUUUUACAUGUCAAGUAUUAUUUCUUUGUUAUUUUCACUACUUCUAUGCUUUUGACCAUGUCGCAUUAAGAGCUUGUCUUUAUUUAAGUUAUUAAAUCAAUAACGUAAUCAAUUAAUAAGUUAAGUUAAAAACUAUUUUUUUCUCUUUUUUUAAAACAAACAAUAAUUUGUAAACAGCAACUUUAGUUUAUACUUCUAUCCCAUGUAUAUUUGUAAAAUUCUUAAUUAUUUUCAUUUUCCAACAAAUAGCUGGUCAACCAACUCACGUGACUCAUGUUCACCGUAAGUAGAAAUUAUAUGCAAACUAUUUUAAAACAUUUAAACUGUUCAUGAUUUGUUUGAAUUUUUACAAUGUUCGGAUAUCUUUAUCAUUCUACAAAAAGACUUUUCUUCCAUUAUAUUAUAUAAAAUUUAUACAAACCUAAAACAUCUUAUUUACAAACCAUAUAUUUUUAAGGACACGUUGGACAUUCUGACUACUUUCAAGUUUCUUCUGAUCACUCGUACAACGCAAGAAAAACAAUAUUCAUACUACCAUUUAAAUUGCAGAAUUAAGUAAUUUUGAUAAUAGUAAAAUUGGUAUUUGGAACCUUAUAGGAAAAAAAAUAUUUUAUAAAAACCUUCUUGAAAAAUUGAACUAUGAUUUAAUAAUUUUGAUAUUUCUGUUGAAUUUAUAGAUACUUUCGUGUUAUUUUUCUUUCAGUUUAAAUAUUUGAAAAAUAUAGCUACCAAUAGAAGCUAUUCUCAGAAUUUUUAAUUUAUGCCUAAAACAGAUCAUGAGCUCACAUGCAAAAGUCAAAGUAGCUCUAACUUGCGACUAUCUUAGAAUGCAAUAAAAGUAUCGCACUGCUUAUUUUGAUUAAAAAUUUCGACUUUAUUUCCUUUAAAAAAUAAUUUAUUUAUUUCACUAUUGAAGUGGGAUAUAAGUUGUCUCGUUGCUAGUACGAUGAUUUAUGUUAAGUUGUUGUAACUGGGAGAGUCAAGUUCCACACAAUAAAAAAGGAAAUUUCAAAAUUGAGCAAAAAUGUAUCAAACUAGCUCUUAAAUACAUAUAAUCGAAUUUGAAAAUUCCAUGUAUUCAAAAUUUAAAAGAAUGUACUUCUUUUUGUGCAAAAUACAUAGCUCAGCAGUGAUGCGGAGAGUAAAA